UACGGAGGGUGCAAGUGUUAAUCGGAAUUACUGGGCGUAAAGCGCGCGUAGGUGGCUUGAUAAGCCGGUUGUGAAAGCCCCGGGCUCAACCUGGGAACGGCAUCCGGAACUUUCAAGCUAGAGUGCAGGAGAUGAAGGUAGAAUUCCCGGUGUAUCGGUGAAAUGCGUAGAGAUCGGGAGGAAUACCAGUGUCGAAGGCGGCCUUCUGUACUGACACUGACACUGAGGUGCGAAAGCGUGGGUAGCAAACAGG
rnacentral:misc_RNA from 1 species